rnacentral:rRNA from 1 species
UACGUAGGGCGCAAGCGUUAUCCGGAAUUAUUGGGCGUAAAGAGCUCGUAGGCGGCUUGUCGCGUCGACUGUGAAAUCCCGCGGCUCAACUGCGGGUCUGCAGUCGAUACGGGCAGGCUAGAGUUCGGUAGGGGGAGACUGGAAUUCCUGGUGUAGCGGUGAAAUGCGCAGAUAUCAGGAGGAACACCGGUGGCGAAGGCGGGUCUCUGGGCCGAUACUGACGCUGAGGAGCGAAAGCGUGGGGAGCGAACAGG